GCAUAUCAAUAAGCGGAGGAAAAGAAACUAACAAGGAUUCCCCCUAGUAACUGCGAGUGAAGCGGGAAAAGCUCAAAUUUAAAAUCUGGCGGUCUCUGGCCGUCCGAGUUGUAAUCUAGAGAAGUGAUGCCCGCGCUGGACCGUGUACAAGUCUCCUGGAAUGGAGCGUCAUAGAGGGUGAGAAUCCCGUCUCUGACACGGACUACCAGGGCUUUGUGGUACGCUCUCAAAGAGUCGAGUUGUUUGGGAAUGCAGCUCAAAAUGGGUGGUAAAUUCCAUCUAAAGCUAAAUAUUGGCGAGAGACCGAUAGCGAACAAGUACCGUGAGGGAAAGAUGAAAAGAACUUUGGAAAGAGAGUUAAACAGUACGUGAAAUUGCUGAAAGGGAAACGCUUGAAGUCAGUCGCGUUGGCCGGGGAUCAGCCUCGCUUUUGCGUGGUGUACUUUCCGGUUGACGGGUCAGCAUCAAUUUUGACCGCUGGAAAAAGGCUUGAGGAAUGUGGCAGCUCCGGCUGUGUUAUAGCUUCUUGUCACAUACAGCGGUUGGGAUUGAGGUACUCAGCACGCCGCAAGGCCGGGUUUCGACCACGUUCGUGCUUAGGAUGCUGGCAUAAUGGCUUUAAGCGACCCGUCUUGAAACACGGACCAAGGAGUCUAACAUGCCUGCGAGUGUUUGGGUGGAAAACCCGAGCGCGUAAUGAAAGUGAAAGUUGAGAUCCCUGUCGCGGGGAGCAUCGACGCCCGGACCAGAACUUUUGGGACGGAUCCGCGGUAGAGCAUGUAUGUUGGGACCCGAAAGAUGGUGAACUAUGCCUGAAUAGGGUGAAGCCAGAGGAAACUCUGGUGGAGGCUCGUAGCGAUUCUGACGUGCAAAUCGAUCGUCAAAUUUGGGUAUAGGGGGCGAAAGACUAAUCGAACCAUCUAGUAGCUGGGUUCCUGCCG
rnacentral:rRNA from 1 species